rnacentral:rRNA from 1 species
UUUAAGCAUAUAAGUAAGCGGAGGAAGAGAAACUAAAUAGGAUUCCCUCAGUAAUGGCGAACGAACAGGGAAGAGCUCAGAUUGGAUAUCGGGGCCUGUGGCUCCGAAUUGUAGUCUCGAAAUGCAAUGCCAUCGGGGGCGCAGAUUUAAGCCUCUUGGAAGAGAGCGCCGGCGAGGGUGAGAGUCCCGUUCGUCAAUUUGCAGUCCUCCGUACACGGCUUGCACUUGUUGAGUCACGUUCCUCGGGAUUGGAGCGCAAAUAGGGUGGUAAAUUUCAUCUAAAGCUAAAUAUAUGUUUGAGACCGAUAGCACACAAGUACCAUGAGGGAAAGAUGAAAAGGACUUUGAAAAGAGAGUUAAAAGUGCCUGAAAUUGCUGCAAGGGAAGCGGAUGGAACCAGUCCACGCGGUGAGAUUGUUGGGCGGAGGCGUGCGGGGUUGCACUUUCAACGAAAGUGGGGGUGUGAGUCUCAAUCGCCUUUCGCCUGAUGGUUCUUGCCGUGGGGGUCAUUGGUGAUUGGCAGCCGGGGAAACCUUCAAAGGCAUGGUAGCCCGUCUCCGGAUGGGUGAACGCGUUUGAUAGCACUCGGCCGCUGAUCAUAUCCGAGGUGUCCGGUAACUGGCGGCCUUGAGCGCAACGCGAGAACCAAUCGGUUCUUGCUGCGCGUUCGGCCGUAGGUCCUGACACACAUCUACGACCAAAUGGUUCUUUCCGACCCGUCUUGAAACACGGACCAAGGAGUCUAGCAUAUGUGCGAGUGCUUGGGCUGCAAACCCGUGCGCGCAACGAAAGUGACUGCUGGGAUGUUUGCACCAGCAACCGACUGAUCAAUUGCGAGACGUUUGAGUGUGAGCAUAUCUGCUAGGACCCGAAAGAUGGUGAACUAUGCCUGUGAAGAGCGAACCCAGGGGAAACUCUGGUGGAGGCUCGUAGCGAUACUGACGUGCAAAUCGUUCGUCAUACAUGGGUAUAGGGGCGAAAGACUAAUCGAACCAUCUAGUAGCUGGUUCCCUCCGAAGUUUCCCUCAGGAUAGCUGGAGUUGAUCAGUUUUAUCAGGUAAAGCGAAUGAUUAGAGGAAUUGGGGGCGCGUUGUCUUCGACCUAUUCUCAAACUUUAAAUGGGUAAGAUCGAUUAGUUACUUAAUUGAACUUUUCGGACAAAUGUCAACUCCAAGUGGGCCGUUUUUGGUAAGCAGGACUGGCGAUGAGGGAUGAACCUAACGUUCGGAUAAAGUGCUUAACUGCUCGCUCAUCAGAUACCAUAAAGGGUGUUGGUUCAUUUUAACAGCAGGACGGUGGUCAUGGAAGUCGAAAUCCGCUAAGGAGUGUGUAACAACUCACCUGCCGAAUGGACUAGCCCCGAAAAUGGAUGGCGCUUAAGCGGGCGACUGAUACCGAACCAUUGUUGCAAUUAUGCUGCAUCAAUGAGUAGGAGGGCAUUGAGGUUGUGGUGAAGCUCUUGGGGUAAUCCUGAGUGAAACAGCCUCUAGUGCAGAUCUUGGUGGU